rnacentral:rRNA from 1 species
AGAGUUUGAUCAUGGCUCAGAUUGAACGCUGGCGGUAUGCUUAACACAUGCAAGUCGAACGGAAACGAUACUAGCUUGCUAGUAGUCGUCGAGUGGCGGACGGGUGAGUAACGCGUAGGAAUCUGCCUGAUAGUGGGGGAUAGCCCGAAGAAAUUCGGAUUAAUACCGCAUAAUCUAUUCGUAGUAAAGUGGGGGACUUUCGAGCCUCACGCUAUCAGAUGAGCCUGCGUAAGAUUAGCUUGUUGGUGGGGUAAAAGCCCACCAAGGCGACGAUCUUUAGCUGGUCUGAGAGGAUGAUCAGCCACAUCGGGACUGAGACACGGCCCGAACUCCUACGGGAGGCAGCAGUGGGGAAUAUUGGACAAUGGGGGCAACCCUGAUCCAGCAAUACCGCGUGUGUGAAGAAGGCCUGAGGGUUGUAAAGCACUUUCAAUUGUGAAGAAAAGUUAGCGGUUAAUAACCGUUAGCCUUGACGUUAACUUUAGAAGAAGCACCGGCUAACUCCGUGCCAGCAGCCGCGGUAAUACGGAGGGUGCAAGCGUUAAUCGGAAUUACUGGGCGUAAAGCGUGCGUAGGCGGUUUAUUAAGUCAGAUGUGAAAGCCCCGGGCUUAACCUGGGAACUGCAUUUGAAACUGGUCAACUAGAGUAUGGUAGAGGAAAGUGGAAUUUCUGGUGUAGCGGUGAAAUGCGUAGAUAUCAGAAGGAACAUCAAUGGCGAAGGCAGCUUUCUGGACCAAUACUGACGCUGAGGUACGAAAGCGUGGGUAGCAAACAGGAUUAGAUACCCUGGUAGUCCACGCCGUAAACGAUGAUAACUAGCCGUUGGGGGGAUUUACCCUUUAGUGGCGAAGCUAACGCGUUAAGUUAUCCGCCUGAGGAGUACGGCCGCAAGGUUANAACUCAAAGGAAUUGACGGGGACCCGCACAAGCGGUGGAGCAUGUGGUUUAAUUCGAUGCAACGCGAAGAACCUUACCUGGUCUUGACAUCCUGCGAACUUUCUAGAAAUAGAUUGGUGCCUUCGGGAACGCAGUGACAGGUGCUGCAUGGCUGUCGUCAGCUCGUGUCGUGAGAUGUUGGGUUAAGUCCCGUAACGAGCGCAACCCCUAUCCUUAUUUGCCAGCACAUUAUGGUGGGAACUAUAAGGAGACUGCCGGUGAUAAACCGGAGGAAGGCGGGGACGACGUCAAGUCAUCAUGGCCCUUACGACCAGGGCUACACACCGUGCUACAAUGGGAAGGACAAAGAGCCGCGAAGCCGCGAGGUGUAGCUAAUCUCAUAAACCUUUUCGUAGUCCGGAUUGGAGUCUGCAACUCGACUCCAUGAAGUCGGAAUCGCUAGUAAUCGUAGAUCAGAAUGCUACGGUGAAUACGUUCCCGGGUCUUGUACACACCGCCCGUCAUACCAUGGGAGUGGGUUGCACCAGAAGUGGCUAGUCUAACUUAGUGAGGACGGUCACCACGGUGUGAUUCAUGACUGGGGUAAAGUCGUAACAAGGUA